GCUGAGCGCUCCCUUCCUCCAGGGGCCGCCGAGGGGCCGCGCCGAGCGCAUGGAAUUUUCCACCGCCCAGCCAGCCUGCAGAGUCGCGUCUCAUUGGCGGAGCGGGGGCGCCUGUCCCCGCGUGGGUGCGGAGAUGAGAUUAGCCAGGGAGCCCUCCUCAGUGGGCUUUGCGAGGUUCUGAUUAAUCAGUUAAAACUCAGGCAACUGGAGGCCCAUGCAGCUCUGGCUGUAGCAUCAACCAGCGAUGGAACAUUAUACAGUCCUGAGGGUCCUGUGAUCUGUAAGAAGGAGAGACUCCGCGCUGUUGAUCUGACACCCUGCACCAGAGUGCCCCACGGCAAUCUGUCCUUCAGGCAGAAGGGAGGUACCAUGGAGACCACUGGAAACUCUGGAUGGCAGGAUUAGGUGUGGAAGAACUUCAAUACAGGAUCUCCAAAGGAAAGAACCACUCAACGCAUACCAGGGUGGACUGCCGCGGCCGGAGCCAGGCUGCAGAGGCCAGAGUUUAUCUCGGCUUCUACAUGGGGGACCUUGGGCCAAGGCUUUUGCCAACAGUCAGGGGUUUGUUUGUUUGGUUGGUUUUGCUUUUUGUCUUUUGUUUUUGUACUGGGGAUUGAACCCAGGAGCACCCGACCACUGAGCCACACCCCCAGCCUUUUUUAUAUUUUUAGAUAGGCUCUCACUGAGUUGCUUAGGACCUUGAUAAGUUGCUGAGGCUGGCUUUGAACUUGCCAUCCUCCUGCCUCAGCCUCCCAAGUCGCUGGGAUUACAGGCAUGCAUCAUUGUGCCCUGAAAGAGUCAGUUUCCUUCUCUAACAAAUGUGAUGCAUUGAAGUACCUACUGCAUAGGAUUGCUGUCAGGAUUGAGUUAACUCAUGCAUGUGCCAGAAACAGAGUAUGUACUCAACAAACUCUAGUUGGUGUUACUAAGGAAGACGUAAACAAUGGAAAGAAA